GACGAACGCUGGCGGCGUGCCUAAUACAUGCAAGUAGAACGCUGAAGGAGGAGCUUGCUUCUCUGGAUGAGUUGCGAACGGGUGAGUAACGCGUAGGUAACCUGCCUGGUAGCGGGGGAUAACUAUUGGAAACGAUAGCUAAUACCGCAUAACAGUAGAUAUCGCAUGAUAUCUACUUGAAAGGUGCAAUUGCAUCACUACCAGAUGGACCUGCGUUGUAUUAGCUAGUUGGUGAGGUAACGGCUCACCAAGGCGACGAUGCAUAGCCGACCUGAGAGGGGGAUCGGCCACACUGGGACUGAGACACGGCCCAGACUGCUACGGGAGGCAGCAGUAGGGAAUCUGCGGCAAUGGACGGAAGUCUGACCGAGCAACGCCGCGUGAGUGAAGAAGGUUUUCGGGUCGGAAAGCUCUGUUGUAAGAGAAGAACGAGUGUGAGAGUGGAAAGUUCACACUGUGACGGUAUCUUACCAGAAAGGGACGGCUAACUACGUG
rnacentral:rRNA from 1 species